AUUGAACGCUAGCGGGAUGCUUUACACAUGCAAGUCGAACGAGUGGCGGACGGGUGACUAAUAUAUCGGAACGUGCCCAGUAGCGGGGGAUAACUACUCGAAACAGUGGCUAAUAACGCAUACUUUUGGAUCGGCCGAUAUCGGAUUAGCUCGGUGGUGGGGUAAAGGCUAACCAAGGUAACGAUCGGUAGCUGGUUUGAGAGGAGGACCAGUAACACUGGGACUGAGACACGGCCCAGACUCCUACGGGAGGCAGCAGUGGGGAAUUUUGGACAAUGGGGGAAACCCUGAUCCAGCCAUCCCGCGUGUGUGAGAAGGCCUUCGGGUUGUAAAGCACUUUUGGUAGAGAAGCGGUAUCUGCAGAAUAAGCACCGGCUAACUACGUGCCAGCAGCCGCGGUAAUAC
rnacentral:rRNA from 1 species